rnacentral:rRNA from 1 species
GACGAACGCUGGCGGCGUGCUUAACACAUGCAAGUCGAACGGAAAGGCCCUGCUUUUGUGGGGUGCUCGAGUGGCGAACGGGUGAGUAACACGUGAGUAACCUGCCCUUGACUUUGGGAUAACUUCAGGAAACUGGGGCUAAUACCGGAUAGGAGCUCCUGCUGCAUGGUGGGGGUUGGAAAGUUUCGGCGGUUGGGGAUGGACUCGCGGCUUAUCAGCUUGUUGGUGGGGUAGUGGCUUACCAAGGCUUUGACGGGUAGCCGGCCUGAGAGGGUGACCGGCCAAAUGGGGACUGAGAUACGGCCCAGACUCAUAAGGGAGGAAGAAGUGGGGAAUAUAGCAAAAUGGGCGGAAGCCUGAUGCAGGAACGCCGCGUGCGGGAUGACGGCCUUCGGGUUGUAAACCGCUUUCGCCUGUGACGAAGCGUGAGUGACGGUAAUGGGUAAAGAAGCACCGGCUAACUACGU